rnacentral:rRNA from 1 species
AGCAGCCGCGGUAAUUCCAGCUCCAAUAGCGUAUAUUAAAGUUGUUGCAGUUAAAAAGCUCGUAGUUGAAUUUCGGGGUCAGUAGGUCGGUCGUGCCACUGGUAUGAACUGGUCUCACUGAUUCCUCCUUCUUGAAGAACCGUAAUGUCAUUAACUUGGUGUUGCGGGGAAACAGGACUGUUACCUUGAAAAAAUUAGAGUGUUUAAAGCAGGCUAGCGCUUGAAUACAUUAGCAUGGAAUAAUGAAAUAGGACGUUCGAUCCUAUUUUGUUGGUUUCUAGGAUUGACGUAAUGAUUAAUAGGGAUAGUUGGGGGCAUUAGUAUUCAAUUGUCAGAGGUGAAAUUCUUGGAUUUAUUGAAGACUAACUACUGCGAAAGCAUUUGCCAAGGAUGUUUUCAUUAAUCAAGAACGAAAGUUAGGGGAUCGAAGACGAUCAGAUACCGUCGUAG